ensembl:misc_RNA Metazoa_SRP Metazoan signal recognition particle RNA
GCUGGGUGCGGAGGUGCGUGCCUGUAAUCCCAGCUACUUGGGAGGCUGAGGCAGGAGAAUUGCUUGAGCCCAGGAGGUGGAGGUUGCAGUGAGCUGAGAUUGUGCCACUGCACUCCAGCCUGGGUGACAGAGCAAGACUCCGUCUUCA